rnacentral:rRNA from 1 species
GAUGAACGCUGGCGGCGUGCCUAAUACAUGCAAGUCGAGCGAACGGACGAGAAGCUUGCUUCUCUGAUGUUAGCGGCGGACGGGUGAGUAACACGUGGAUAACCUACCUAUAAGACUGGGAUAACUUCGGGAAACCGGAGCUAAUACCGGAUAAUAUUUUGAACCGCAUGGUUCAAAAGUGAAAGACGGUCUUGCUGUCACUUAUAGCUGGAUCCGCGCUGCAUUAGCUAGUUGGUAAGGUAACGGCUUACCAAGGCAACGAUGCAUAGCCGACCUGAUAGGGUGAUCGGCCACACUGGAACUGAGACACGGUCCAGACUCCUACGGGAGGCAGCAGUAGGGAAUCUUCCGCAAUGGGCGAAAGCCUGACGGAGCAACGCCGCGUGAGUGAUGAAGGUCUUCGGAUCGUAAAACUCUGUUAUUAGGGAAGAACAUAUGUGUAAGUAACUGUGCACAUCUUGACGGUACCUAAUCAGAAAGCCACGGCUAACUACGUG